AAGGCACCUUAUGUAGCCAAGGCAGAAAAGCGAAAGGUCGAGUAUGAAAAGAACAUGAAGGCCUACAAUAAGAGACAGGUAAUUCAGUUUUUCAUUUAUGAGCAUAAUGUAUCUGUUUGGGCAGCUAAUAAUUGAUGGAUUUUCCAGGCUGAGGGUCCCAAAGACGAAGAUGUUGAGUCUGACAAAUCAGUGUCUGAGGUGAAUGAUGAGGAUGAUGAUGAAGAAGGCAGCGGAGACGUAAGUUGCAAUGUUUCGGUUAAUUGUUGCUGUUGUUCAUGUUGGUUGCUAUUGUUUGACUUAAUGAAUUGUUUCUUAUUUUAAUGCAGGAAGAAGAUGAUGAGUAGGAAGGUCCGCGGUGGAUAGCAUAAUCAAUGUAGGCUGUGAUAGUGUUUGAUCAAAACCUUAUGUUAAUGCUUUCGAUGUUUCCAUGUUAUUCUUUUAGAUGCGCAUGCCAUCUAAGGGAGAAAUGUACCUCUGAAUCC
rnacentral:lncRNA from 1 species